rnacentral:rRNA from 1 species
UACAGAGGUCCCAAGCGUUGUUCGGAUUCAUUGGGCGUAAAGGGUGCGUAGGCGGUGAGGUAAGUUGGAUGUGAAAUCCCAGGGCUCAACCCUGGAACUGCAUUCAAUACUGCCUUGCUAGAGUACUGGAGAGGAGAUUGGAAUUUACGGUGUAGCAGUGAAAUGCGUAGAUAUCGUAAGGAAGACCAGUGGCGAAGGCGAAUCUCUGGACAGUUACUGACACUGAGGCACGAAGGCCAGGGAGCAAACGGG